rnacentral:rRNA from 1 species
UACGAGGGGUGCAAGCGUUGCUCGGAAUUAUUGGGCGUAAAGGGUAGGUAGGUGGUCUCAUUUGUCUGGGGUGAAAGCCUUGAGCUUAACUCAAGAAGUGCCCCAGAAACGGUGAGACUGGAGUCCUGGAGAGGGUCGUGGAAUUCCCGGUGUAGCGGUGAAAUGCGUAGAGAUCCGGAGGAACACCAAAGGCGAAGGCAGUGUCCUGGGGAGUACCUGACGCUCAGGUGCGAAAGCCAGGGGAGCGAACGGG